GUUUACUGCUCAUGGCGGCGUCAUGUUUACAUGUUUAAACCGCGUAUUCAAUUUCCUGACAAAACGAAUAGAACAUUUUUAACUUGACCCAGUUAAGCUGCCCAGGCCAUUCGUUCGGUCGUAAAAGUCGCAGCCCACUGCCCCGACGGAGAAACUGCAAUGGCUCCUCCAGCACCGCGAACACGGUCUCCCAUGUAAUUCAGGGCCAAUUUUGAAGAUUCCACGACGGAUUUACCUGAAGAUACUGGAUUGGCAAUGUUCUUCACAGAAGAGACUGCACCACAAGCAAGUGUCUUUCCAUCCAUGAUGAUUGCAUCCAGUUCCACUUUGCCCUCUGUGUUGAGAGCUGCUCCGUGACCUGCAGAUAGAUAACGUUCAUAAGGUAUUUCCAUAUAUGUCCACAAGAUGGUAACAAGUCAGUGUAUGUUAAACAGAACACCGCACUCGCCAUAAUACUCCACUGACUGCUAUAAUGACAGUUCAUGUCCAAUCUUUUCACAUAAAUGAACCAUAAAAAAACUAUUGUGGGCCACUGGGCAUAACAGCCUUGAUGUUCAUUUAUAUGCAAGGCAAACAUAUAUUCACAGAUUCUGUCGGGUAUGAAAAGAAAAUAAUGGUCAUUACGCAGUAUUAUCAUCCCCUGAUGUUCAGCUGCAAU